rnacentral:lncRNA from 1 species
AAUCGACACUACACACCUGAAGGAAAAGCACACACAAGCAAUGAACGUACUACGCUUGCAGAGAUGGGUCGCCGGUCGUCGGUCGGUGAGCUCAAGGCCACGAUCGACGACCCAUGAACCAACAAAGGACACAAGCAGCUGGCCCGUUCGGAUAUGCAUGGAUUCUUCUGUGCAAGUGCUCUCUAUAUCUGGCCGUCGUAACACAUGCUUGCAAAUGCAAUGCAUGCUGCUCCGGCAUGGCCGCCGUGGCUCCCCACCGUUGGCCAGAUCGAUCGAUCGAUCGAGACUAGCUGAUUAGCCGUGACUACAUACAUGCACAUGGCCGGGCACGGCGAGGGCGACGGGCGAUGGCCAAUAAUAAGCUAUAGCUCUAGCGCGCGCGAAGCAUGCAUGCAACGCGACGCGGGGCGGGUGGCCGGCCGGCCGGCGUUAUGGUGGCUUGUCACGACGCCGGUUUUGGCUCGCCCGGCGGCCAGCGCGCACCCCUUACUGACGAGCGUUUUCGGCCGCGCAUGUGCAUGUCCUUCAGACACCACCCACCCUAUACUAUACUGUACUACUACGACCCCUGCAGUGCCGCUGCUCUGCUGGUCAAAACAGAAACUUCCCUGCAAGUUCCUGCAUGCGCUCCCAAUUGUGUGGAUAGCUAGGCUGUCCGUCAGCCGGGGUCAUGUGACUAUAUGUGAGGUGAUUCUUUCACUGAUUCACUGUUUCACUUUCACUUGCAUUGGCAUGCAUGUGCAUGCAUGACUGAUUCAGAUAGAUUAUAUUCAGGUGCUUACAGAUAGAGAUGUUUACUGAUAUAGCAGUGCACCUGAAUGAACACAGAAAGCAAUUUGGUGUCGAAUUUCUCCAGCAUUUAAUUUCGUGUGGCUCGGAUGCAGAAACAAGUUGGGAUCAUAUGCACAUCAGUGCGUGCCAUUGGUUCGUACGUUCACGUACCCUUGUCGAAAUCCAGAUCACGCGCCAUAGGCUGGCGAAAAUUCAAGGAGGCCUUUGUGUCAAAAAAAAAAUUCAAGGAGGCCGCGACCAAAUGGCCACAAAAUGAAGGGCCUGAACAUGCCACAUCGCACGCGCCGUACUCGGCGAGUCAAUUCCUAGACCGUCAUAGUGUUAGAAUAUAGUAGCUGAAAAUAGUGUGUGUUAGCGGUGCAUGUUAGUGUGUUGAAUAUGUUAGAAGCAUGACACAUGGCACAAUAUUCAGCAGUAUUGAAUAGACGCCAUACAUGCAUAGGCUAGAAGAGCUUGUAGAUUAAGUCAAGUCUUUAUUGUAAACGAUCUCCAUGUACAACCAUGAAGGGGGCUCUUCCCUUCACUAUAUAAACACGGAACCGGGAACCAGGAUGGUCAUCCCGUUACCUCCUAUUUCUAUAUGGUAUUCAGAGCCUAAAAAUCCUCACGGAUACAUCGAUCCUUAUGGCAACCUCCUCUGAAGCUGCCGCUUCCUUCUUUAGUUUUUUCCCACCAGUAACCAAGAAACUAACUCGUAGCAACUACAAUAUGUGGCUUGCUCAAGUCACAGCCACUCUGCAGGGCGCUCAGCUCUAGAGUUUCACCAAACCCACCACCAAACUCCCUCCUGAGUUUCUUGAGGUCGAUGCCGCCGCUGCUGCGGCGGCGGGCAACAAGGCGGAACCGGCCGUCAAUCCGGAAUAUGAGAAGUGGUUGGCCAAGGACAGCCAAGUCCGCAGCUACCUCUUCACAUCCCUCUCCGAGGACACCUUCUCCCAGGUCGCGGACGCGACCACGGCGGCCGAAUUGUGGGCCGCAAUCCAGACGCUCCAAGCGUCCCAGUCCCGCGCCCGGAUCAUGUCCACGCGGAUGGCGCUCGCCACGGCAACCAAGGAGUCGUCAACCGUGGCGGAAUUCUUCACCAAGAUGAAGGGCUUGGCCGACGAGAUGGCGUCGGCGGGCAAGAAGCUGGACGACGAUGAGGUCGUCUCCUAUUCAGAGCCUAAAAAUCCUCACGGAUACAUCGAUCCUCAUGGCAACCUCCUCUGAAGCUGCCGCUUCCUUCUUUAGUUUUCUCCCACCAGUAACCAAGAAACUAACUCGUAGCAACUACAACAUGUGGCUUGCUCAAGUCACAGCCACUCUGCAGGGCGCUCAGCUCUGGAGUUUCACCAAACCCACCACCAAACCCCCUCCUGAGUUUCUUGAGGUCGACACCGCCGCUGCUGCGGCGGCGGGCAACAAGGCGGAACCGGCCGUCAAUCCGGAAUAUGAGAAGUGGUUGGCCAAGGACAGCCAAGUCCACAGCUACCUCUUCACAUCCCUCUCCGAGGACACCUUCUCCCAGGUCGCGGACGCGACCACGGCGGCCGAAUUGUGGGCCGCAAUCCAGACGCUCCAAGCGUCCCAGUCCCGCGCCCGGAUCAUGUCCACGCGGAUGGCGCUCGCCACGGCAACCAAGGGGUCGUCAACCGUGGCGGAAUUCUUCACCAAGAUGAAGGGCUUGGCCGACGAGAUGGCGUCGGCGGGCAAGAAGCUGGACGACGAUGAGGUCGUCUCCUACAUCCUCAUGGGUGUUGGAGAGGAGUUCGAGUCGGUUACAUCUGCGGUUGCAAACCGUACCGACCCGAUUUCUCUCCCAGAGCUCCAGGCUCAGCUCGUGAGCCAUGAACAAUGCCGUGAGAUCCACGAUGGCGGCUCCCACUCCUCCGUCAACUCUGCAGAAAAGGGCGGCCGUCGUGGUGGUCGUCCUUCCUAUUCCCGUGGCGGCUGUGGUGGUGGUGGUCGCGGCGGCUUCGGGCAUGGCCGCAACAGCGGUCGGAAUGGUGGUCGUGGUGGUGGCCACAACAACAACAACAACUUCACCAACAACACCUUUCUCGAAGGUGUGAUCUGCCAGAUUUGUGGCAGGGAAGGCCAUGGUGCGGAUCGCUGCUACAAGUAUGUCGGCUACCCACCAAAGAAGAGUGCAUCCGCAGCAACAACCUCCUACGGCGUGGACACUAACUGGUACAUGGACACUGGUGCCACGGACCACAUCACUAGCGAGCUAGAUCAACUUACAAUCCGCGAUCGCUACAACGGCAACGACCAUGUACACACCGCUAGCGGAUCAGGUAUGAAGAUCAAUCACAUUGGUCACAGUACUUUGAGUUUCCCUAAUAGCAACCUUCGUCUACGUAACAUACUUCAUGUCCCAGAAGCAAAUAAGAAUCUUGUCUUUGUCAAUCGCAUUACUCGUGAUAAUAAUGUGUUUCUUGAGUUUCACCCUGAUCAUUUUUUGGUCAAGGAGCAGGGAACAAAGAAAACCCUACUCCAAGGCAGAUGUGAGCGUGGCCUCUACCCACUCCAUUCAUCCAAUAAAGAAGUGCUUGCCACCAUCAAACCAUCCACCUCGCUAUGACAUCAUCGACUUGGUCAUGCAUCCACUCCAGUAGUUCAGCGUGUCCUCAACCACCAUAAGCUCCCUUUUGUUCAAGAUUCCAGUCAACAUAGUAUUUGUGAUGCGUGUCAACAAGGAAAAAGCCACCAGCUGCCCUACCCUAGGUCAACUAGUGUGUCAAAACACCCUUUUGAUCUUGUUUUUUCUGAUGUAUGGGGCCCCGCUCCCAAAUCUGUCGGUCAGAAUAAAUAUUAGUUAAGUUUCAUUGAUGAUUAUAGUAAACAUACUUGGAUCUAUUUACUUCGUCAAAAAUCUGAGGUGUUUCGAUGCUUUCUUGAUUUUCAGCAACUUGUUGAGCGUCAAUUCGAUUGCAAAAUCCGUGCUAUGCAAACAGACUGGGUGGUGAAUAUCAAACUCUUAGCUCCUUCUUUAAACGUGUAGGGAUAUUAUAACACUCCAAAAUUUUUAAUUUUGGAUUGUUAUUAGAAAACACUAAAUUAAAUAAGAAUUUAAAUUUUUCUAAAAUAUUCCAAGAUUUAUUUAGUUAUUGAAUUCAAAAAGAGAGAAAAUUGUGUAAUUUUUAAAACUUUUAUAAAAUUAAGUGAAGGGUGUUAUGUUUGCGGUUGUGUGCUUUUGUGCCCUCGCUUUGUUUAGCUUGUGUGUGAAAAAUGAAUUUCAAAAUUGCUAGCGAGAAUUUUUAGGUCCUUUUGGUUUCUGAAAAAAAAUAAUAUAUAAAACACUAAAAGUCCUAUUCGAAAACUAAAUUUGUUUUGAGUCGAAAAUGAUUUAAAAAUAUGAUCUUAGGAAAAUGUGCUUUGUUUUCAAAAGUAUUAAAGAAAACAAGCUCCUAAAUAACCUCAAAUUAGGAAUUCAAACAGGGUGUUGAAAUAGGUUUAGUAAAAUAGUUUAGAAAUCAAUCUUUAUAAAAAGAAAAGCGUUUAUUUUUUUUCUCCAACGUGGGCCGACCACCCCUCCCUCGGCCCACCUUCCCACUCCCCCCUCUCUCCCAUACGCCAGCGGCCCACCCCGCCAGGCCGCGGCCCAGCGCCCCGCCUCGGCCCGCUAGCAGCGUGCACCCGCUGCCACGCGGGGCCCACUUGUCGGUCGCUCCAAGCGGCUGACGCUGCGGACCCACGCGUCAGCCGCGUCUCCCUCCUCUCGCCGCACAUCUCGGACACCGCUGCCGCCGUCGAUUCGAGCCUGUGCGCGCUCCUCGAGGUUCCCCGCGGCCUAUAAAGGCCCUGCACUAGGCUCCGCGCCCCCUGGAACCCUAGCGAAGCCCCGCCGCCACGCUAGCCCUAGCCGCGAGCCGCUACCACCGCCGCCGUCGAGCGAAGGUCCCCUCCACCGUCGAUCUCCGCCUCCUCUACAUCUCCGUCGACACGAACACCUGCCCGAGCUUCUCCAUCGCGCAAGGAACUCAGUGGUGCCCCUGGUUCGCCUCCUCCCCCUUCUCUUUGCCCCGCGCGCGCUCACCGAAGCGAGCCACCGCCGCCGAAUCGCUCCGCCGCGUGCGCAGCCGCCUCCGGCCUGCGUCGGUGGACGUGGACCCCUGCAUCGGGUUCGCGACGUCGAGCCGCACCCGCCCAUGUCCUCGCUUCGACCAGUCGUGCGCCGUAGCCCCUGCACCGCCCAACUCCGGCGAGCCUCCACCGCGCGCCACCGCGGGGAGCGCCGCUCCGGCGACCUCCUCCCUCUGGAGUCGCCAGAUCCGUCCAAUCCGCGAUCAUCGGCCCACAUUAGAUCCGGGCACCGGUCAAAUGAGACGGUCAACGUGGCCGACGUGGCAGCCCCGUCAGCGCCACGCAAGCGCCACGUCAGCGCCACGUGGUGCCACGCAAGCGAAGACUGGGUCAACCAGUCAAGAAGCGGUCAGCCCUGGCCGUUUUGCAAAGCGCCCCCUGCAGUUUUUGGUAAUAAACCCGCAGUCCACUGCAGUUCAAAACUAAUUAGAUCUAGGUCCUGUUUUUUUCAGUUUAACCCCUGGCGCCACUGGUAUUUGUAUAUUUAAUCCAAAUUGCGUUUUUAAUUCUGUUUUAAUUAUUUAAAAUACAAAAAUUAGUUCUGUGUAAUCACGGUUUUGCCACUGACCUAGUUUUGGCCAUAAAAUCCACGUUUUAACUCCGAUUGAGGCCGUUCUUGUCGCGUUAGUUUCGUAUCGUCGUAAGCUACGCUUUAGCAGUAAUAGUUACCUCGUUUGACCAUUUAGGUUUUCACCAUAAAUACAAAAUGAUUAAUGACUAACUAAAUGCCCGUUUAAUCUACAAAAGCAAUUUGUUUAUAACUUUAGUUCUCGUAAAUAAAUAUUAAUGUUAUUAAUACCAACAUAAAUACCUUUUUAAUUGUGAUCUAGUUAAUCUGAUCUCAUAUCAUAAAUGCCUUGUUUAACUUAUAACACAAAUUCCUUGUUUUCUAAUUAUAAAUAGUAAAGUGACUUAAAUGAUGUAGAAUGGUUCGUAAUUUGGUUAUGACUAAAGUUUAACUCCAACUUUUAUAAUUCUUUUAUAAUUUGGUCAACUCAACUUUCAGAUAUUUCUUUGAAUAAUCCAUCACCUGUUUUCUUAAAAUACGAUCAACGUAUAGUCGUCUUUUCCGUUUCGCUUCGAACCUCGAAAGUCGUGUCCGUUUAACGAUAGCUCCGUUCUCAAUCGUUCUUGCGUUGUCACGAUCGUAGCAAUAAGUCGUGUCGUUUAGUGCGCUCUUUCUAAGCUUUUCUUUUGAUUGAUGCUUGUUCUUAGUCAUGAUUGUUUGUUUGUCUGUUUGUGUUGCUUGGUUGCUACGAGUAGAAGAAGUGUGGUUCAUCAAUAGUGAAGACCAGGAGCUGAGGACCGACAGUCGAAGCAGAAGUUGGAGAUCACAAGAAGGAAGUCAAAGAUUUCUGAGCAGUUAAACACUGGAAAUUAAGGCAAGUGCAGACACCCUUUGAUCAUAUUGUACCUAUGAACUUUAAAUACAUUUACUUUCCAUUGCAUGUAUCUUAAUACUGCAAACCCUAAGGACAUGACUAGUCUUCUACUAUAUUCCUUGUAUACCUGGGUUUAUACAUGGGUAGUAUAGUGAACAGUAGAUAUGCUUAGUUGCUCUACUCAUCUAAUCUAUAUAAUAAUAAAAAUAAUGAUCUUGCUUAAUAAAUUCUUCAAUGAUGAUAAAUGAUUAAAUGAUGAACAAUGGUCACUUCGGUGAUGGAGAUGUUGCGGUGCUUGCGAGCAUCGUGGUUUGGUUGAGGACAGGGGGAGCGGGUACCGUUGGUGGUCCGGUUUGCCGGGCGUACCCGUCUCUGCUCUCCGUAAGGACUUAGUCAGGGAGCGGCCCCCUGGGACUUACAGUGCAGCUCCAAGCUAUAUGGGCUCUGGCUUGACUAAUUAGCAGGACCUCCACUGGUAGGGUGUUACUUUCCGGGUAGGCGUAAGGAAUGUAGCUUGGGUAUUCAUAUUAAGAGGUCGGUCAGUUCGGGGUCCCAUUGCUAUGGGCACGACUGCCGCGCGCCCCGGCAAAAACUUACGAGUGGCAUCCUAUUAGUUGGACCCUGUGAAAGGUCUCGUAGUGAGACCCUGCCUGCUCACCUUGGCAGUGUUUUGGGGAGUCAUGACCCCGGGCAAAUGGGAAUCACGACUUGGAGUGAACGUGCACACCUCUGCAGAGUGUAAAACUGAUAUAUCAGCCGUGCUCACGGUCACGAGCGGCCCAGACCCUCACUUGAUGAGCAAAUUGGAUUCACUGGAUACUUGGAGGCGAAAUUUGGUUGAGGUUGCUACCUCGUGCUUUGGCGGAAUGGCUAUUCCGUGUUGGCAGGAUUGCUAUCCUGUGUUCUAAAUUGGGAUUGCUAUCCCAUGACCUUAAUGGGGUUGCUACCCCGAGUUACUAUCUGAGGUUGCUACCUCGGUAAUAAUUAUAAUGAUGAUUCAUAAAAUUGUUAAUAUACUUUCAUCUAAUUAAGGGUUGGGAUGCUUUACCCAUAUUUAGUAAUAGGUUGUUUUAAUAAUAGAGUUGUAAUAAAAGUUUACCAACUUAAAAGCUCACCUGCAGUUAAACAGUGUCAGCUUUUCCUUUGAUCAAGCCUUGCAUGUCAUUAUACUUUCCGCCUGUACUUGUUGAGUUCGACAUGAACUCACCCUUGCUAUUUCCCCCACACCCCAGUGUGUAGUAAAGUGCUGCUCAGAAGAAGGGUAUAGAUGCUAUGGAGUUUUCUAGAGGCUUAUCAGAAGUGCUUGGCGUACGGAGCCCCCAGUCAGCCGUCCCUGAGAAGAUUGGAGCCUAAGAAGUUUAGCUACUGUUUCCGCGUACUCUGAUGUUUUGUAAGUGUUAUUAUAAAUAUGUUUUCCGCUAUAUAUAACAUUGUUUUUGAUAUUUCUAUUCUUUGUUGUAUGUGUGGACUUCCUGGGCACACAUAUGACGACUCUGGUCUUAUUUUAAAAGCCAGGGUGUGACAGGAAUGGUAUCAGAGCAAUGUUGACUGUAGGACGUAUGCCUAGAUAGCACUGGUCGAUUUCUAAAGCUUAUUUUGCUAUAAAACUAUUUUCUCAUCCCUUGUCUCUUUGACUCUGACUAUUUUCUCAACCUUGUCAUGUUGUAUCCCCUCCUUGAAUAACUUCCUUUGAGCUAUUUCUAUUAAUCUCCUUGGCUUUUGUUUAGUUGUUUUACUUAAGUCUUCAAAACUUAUUUUAUUCCAAAAUUUGAUGGCUCUUCAUCAUCUCGAACUUACCUUUUUAGGAUGACCACCACUGUUGAAGAAGCACGUGUAGUAUCGUUGAUGUGAUGUGUGCUUGUUUUGCUUGGUUUGUUGUUUGUGUGUUGUCUUUGUUCUAGUGUUUUGAUGGAGUUCUGGAAGAAGACGUUUAGAGAUUAGCUCAAUCUCUGUUAAGUGGGGUAGUGAUCUCUCUUAUCCUAUCCAUCUAUUGUCAAUCUUGAUCCUCUCCACCUAUUUUUUUUCUCUCACUUCAUGCUCUUUGUCCAUAUUACUCUAGCUCAUUCUACUAUUGCCUAAUGUCAGAUGAUUGAUCCAAGUGGUGACAUCAAUGGAAAAGAAUAUUGGUGAUCCGAGUCAACCAAUGACUUCUGCAACACAAUUGAGCAGUGAAGAGAUGAUAACUUGGCAAUCCCAAAUCCUAGAGAUGGCAGCUGAUCAUAUGGCUAGACUCCAGAAGCUUUUGACACUACAAUCUUUACUUCUCCAAGGCGACAUUGAAGAAGCUUACACCAAAUGUCAGGAAGACCCAACUAUGCUACCCUUGUCCCUAGUAAACAACGAGAAGCCCUUGUUUACACAAGAUCAAGUACUAAGUGGAGUGGAACCACAUAAAGUUUAUCAGCUAUAUUCAGAGAAGAACAUGACCGAAACUCAGGAAGAAGCAAUGAAGCGACAAGUCGUAGAAGCCUGGAAGAACAUGAAAGCUAAGAAAGAUGGUAUUAAUGAGGCACUUGGGGUUCAAGAGCCGUGUAAUUGCUGCAGAUAUUAUGGUUUACCGUGCCUUCAGAAAAAGUCAAGCGAAGGAAAGGUAGAAGUACCCCAGGAUCAACAAACUGAAGGUAACAAGAAAAGGAAGGCAAUCUCCCUAGAGCCACUAUUAAGUGUUGAGCCAAAUCUAAGUUCUACAUGGCAGUUAGAUUUAGCUCCAAACUCUCAUCAGACACAUUCAUACCUUGAAGAAUUAGAUGCCCCUUCAGCUACACUUGCUAUGCCAGAGAUAUGCCUAGAUGGAUGGACCAUCACCUAUACAGAAUAUCAGCCUCGAAAGAGUAAUCAAGCUAAGAAGCGAAAUAGUGAAGAGACUCCAUUGAAGGUAAACCCUCAGAACCAACAAGUUAGUAGCACUUCAGUUACUCCUGGCACAUCAAUUCAAGGAGCUCAAUGUCAGGAUAACACCUAUGGUAAAAUGGUUAGCAAUGCUUGUUACCAGUGUCACGAAGAGGGACAUCACAAGAAACAUUGUCCAAAGAAGUACCCAGUUCGUGACUAUGUUAAUGGUAGAUUGAACCAUGUGGAUCUGUGUACUGCUCGUGAAGCACAAAAUGUGGUGUUUGGAUCAAUUCUAGUCAAUUCAACUCCUGCCACUGUUUUGUUUGACUCAAGUUCUUCACAUUCUUUCAUCUCAAACAAAUGUGUUGCCGAUCAUAAGUUGCUUAAGUUGGAAAUGAAGAAACCCAUACUGGUCAAAUCACCAAGAGGAAAGAUAAGAGCAACCUACAUGUGCCCAAAAGUCAGUCUUGACAUAAAAGGUGCAAAUUUUGAGGUGAAUCUUAUAGUUUUGGAAUCAAUGGAGAUUGAUAUCGUUCUUGGAAGAGGGUGGUUAACUGCUUGUCAUGGAGAGAUUGAUUGUACCCGACACUCAGUAUCCCUAACCACCCCAUCAGGAGACAGGUUCGUGUAUGAAGGCACUCAACCUCACCCGAAGGAUUAAAGGACUAAUGGAAGGAUUGUACCGACAACGAGGUAGUUCAAAAGGAAUGUGGACCUUAUAGAGAGGCAAUAUUUACUCAACAUCAGAUGUGGAGUAGAUUGUAUUAGGACACACAGAUAGAUUUGAAUCAGUCAAGGAAAUAUGUAACACUUAUGAAGUCAGCGAUGGCUUUUAGCUUAUAAUGAUUUUGUCUUCAGGUCGCUAGUAAUCUUCCUUGUAAAAUGAGAUGUCUUGUUCAUUGGACUUUAUCAUUCUUAAUCUCCUAAUAUGAGUUAUGAGUUGGUUGUCAAGAUGUUUAGUCUAUUUGUGGUAACCAUGGAAUCUUGGGCGAAGCACCUAGUGCUGUCCCAACAUCGAGUGGUAGUGCUUACCCGUGAAGUGAUCUUAAACAUUCCAUGCAGAACGAGUUGACAACCUUUGUGCAGUUCUCUCUGCAAUAUUUCCCCAACACUGCAAGUGGUAUGAGAAAUUUACUUAGGAUCCAUCUAUGGAGACCAUAGAGAAGCAUUAGAGAAGCAUCAAGUGUCCUAGGAAGAGUGGUGCUUGUUGACCUGUCAAAGCAAGGCAUAGGAAACCAGUCCCAAGAUAAGAUGUAUUAUUUUACUUUGGAAUAUUUGAUGGAUUAUCACGUGACAAAAUGUAGAACCCGAAGAUCAAAUGAAAACCAUACCGAUAUAUGGUCAAUCUUAAUAGACCCCUUGGGUUGCUUUUCUAGAUAGUGUUCAAGAACCUUCUCCUAGAUAACCUUACCGACUUUUGGCUUCAGUCUUGCACCUUUUCUGAGAUAACUGAGAUUAUCUCACUCUAUCUUUUCCCACCAUUGUGUUGUUUGUCACCCUGUUUCUCCGAAAUCCCCAGAUGUGCAGUGUGUUGUCAAACUGAUAACCCCUGACGAAAAAAAAAUUGAAGACUAUAUUGACAGGAUUUUGGAAGAUAAGCUAACACUUGGUUUAAGUGGGGUAGCGUCUGCUACGAUCAUCACUCUCGAAAAUCUUUAAUCAUAAAGACAUGGAGAACUAUAUAUUGAUCAUUAUCAUUCUCGCAAUGAACCCUUAUCAAUUUUUCUAUCAUGUGAUCUUUGAUCCUACGUCUCAUAGGACUACAAAAUAUUAAGCGUGAAGACUGGAAAAUAAAUUUAAGUCUCCCUCGUCAACUUUUGCUAAUUCUUUAUCCUUUCAUCUACUAUCUUAUACAUAUCCAGAAUCGAGGAAAUUGUGAGUACUAUAGUAUCUAUCUUUGUCUCCUAUGUGUUAUCUCCUGUUAACCUUGGCUUUUUGCCCUUGCAAUUUAUCGUAAUACAGGAUCCAAAGAUCAAUUUCUAUCUCAUAUGUUUAUCUUUCUUUGUCUUCAAAUCUGUAGCAUACUCUAUACCCUUUAUGUCUAUCUUUAAUCCUUUGAUCACAUCUUGAAAGUCUCGAAACAACUUCGAUGAUCUACUUUAUCUUUCUCUCUAGUUUCUUCAAAUCUCGGGACGAGAUUUAUGUUAAGUGGGGUAGAUCUAUAACACUCCAAAAUUUUUAAUUUUGGAUUGUUAUUAGAAAAUACUAAAUUAAAUAAGAAUUUAAAUUUUUCUAAAAUAUUCCAAGAUUUAUUUAGUUAUUGAAUUCAAAAAGAGAGAAAAUUGUGUAAUUUUUAAAACUUUUAUAAAAUUAAGUGAAGGGUGUUAUGUUUGCUGUUGUGUGCUUUUGUGCCCUAGCUUUGUUUAGCUUGUGUGUGAAAAAUGAAUUUCAAAAUUGCUAGCGAGAAUUUUUAGGUCCUUUUGGUUUCUGAAAAAAAAUAAUAUAUAAAACACUAAAAGUCCUAUUCGAAAACUAAAUUUGUUUUGAGUCGAAAAUGAUUUAAAAAUAUGAUCUUAGGAAAAUGUGCUUUGUUUUCAAAAGUAUUAAAGAAAACAAGCUCCUAAAUAACCUCAAAUUAGGAAUUCAAACAGGGUGUUGAAAUAGGUUUAGUAAAAUAGUUUAGAAAUCAAUCUUUAUAAAAAGAAAAGCGUUUAUUUUUUUUCUCCAACGUGGGCCGACCACCCCUCCCUCGGCCCACCUUCCCACUCCCCCCUCUCUCCCAUACGCCAGCGGCCCACCCCGCCAGGCCGCGGCCCAGCGCCCCGCCUCGGCCCGCUAGCAGCGUGCACCCGCUGCCACGCGGGGCCCACUUGUCGGUCGCUCCAAGCGGCUGACGCUGCGGACCCACGCGUCAGCCGCGUCUCCCUCCUCUCGCCGCACAUCUCGGACACCGCUGCCGCCGUCGAUUCGAGCCUGUGCGCGCUCCUCGAGGUUCCCCGCGGCCUAUAAAGGCCCUGCACUAGGCUCCGCGCCCCCUGGAACCCUAGCGAAGCCCCGCCGCCACGCUAGCCCUAGCCGCGAGCCGCUACCACCGCCGCCGUCGAGCGAAGGUCCCCUCCACCGUCGAUCUCCGCCUCCUCUACAUCUCCGUCGACACGAACACCUGCCCGAGCUUCUCCAUCGCGCAAGGAACUCAGUGGUGCCCCUGGUUCGCCUCCUCCCCCUUCUCUUUGCCCCGCGCGCGCUCACCGAAGCGAGCCACCGCCGCCGAAUCGCUCCGCCGCGUGCGCAGCCGCCUCCGGCCUGCGUCGGUGGACGUGGACCCCUGCAUCGGGUUCGCGACGUCGAGCCGCACCCGCCCAUGUCCUCGCUUCGACCAGUCGUGCGCCGUAGCCCCUGCACCGCCCAACUCCGGCGAGCCUCCACCGCGCGCCACCGCGGGGAGCGCCGCUCCGGCGACCUCCUCCCUCUGGAGUCGCCAGAUCCGUCCAAUCCGCGAUCAUCGGCCCACAUUAGAUCCGGGCACCGGUCAAAUGAGACGGUCAACGUGGCCGACGUGGCAGCCCCGUCAGCGCCACGCAAGCGCCACGUCAGCGCCACGUGGUGCCACGCAAGCGAAGACUGGGUCAACCAGUCAAGAAGCGGUCAGCCCUGGCCGUUUUGCAAAGCGCCCCCUGCAGUUUUUGGUAAUAAACCCGCAGUCCACUGCAGUUCAAAACUAAUUAGAUCUAGGUCCUGUUUUUUUCAGUUUAACCCCUGGCGCCACUGGUAUUUGUAUAUUUAAUCCAAAUUGCGUUUUUAAUUCUGUUUUAAUUAUUUAAAAUACAAAAAUUAGUUCUGUGUAAUCACGGUUUUGCCACUGACCUAGUUUUGGCCAUAAAAUCCACGUUUUAACUCCGAUUGAGGCCGUUCUUGUCGCGUUAGUUUCGUAUCGUCGUAAGCUACGCUUUAGCAGUAAUAGUUACCUCGUUUGACCAUUUAGGUUUUCACCAUAAAUACAAAAUGAUUAAUGACUAACUAAAUGCCCGUUUAAUCUACAAAAGCAAUUUGUUUAUAACUUUAGUUCUCGUAAAUAAAUAUUAAUGUUAUUAAUACCAACAUAAAUACCUUUUUAAUUGUGAUCUAGUUAAUCUGAUCUCAUAUCAUAAAUGCCUUGUUUAACUUAUAACACAAAUUCCUUGUUUUCUAAUUAUAAAUAGUAAAGUGACUUAAAUGAUGUAGAAUGGUUCGUAAUUUGGUUAUGACUAAAGUUUAACUCCAACUUUUAUAAUUCUUUUAUAAUUUGGUCAACUCAACUUUCAGAUAUUUCUUUGAAUAAUCCAUCACCUGUUUUCUUAAAAUACGAUCAACGUAUAGUCGUCUUUUCCGUUUCGCUUCGAACCUCGAAAGUCGUGUCCGUUUAACGAUAGCUCCGUUCUCAAUCGUUCUUGCGUUGUCACGAUCGUAGCAAUAAGUCGUGUCGUUUAGUGCGCUCUUUCUAAGCUUUUCUUUUGAUUGAUGCUUGUUCUUAGUCAUGAUUGUUUGUUUGUCUGUUUGUGUUGCUUGGUUGCUACGAGUAGAAGAAGCGUGGUUCAUCAAUAGUGAAGACCAGGAGCUGAGGACCGACAGUCGAAGCAGAAGUUGGAGAUCACAAGAAGGAAGUCAAAGAUUUCUGAGCAGUUAAACACUGGAAAUUAAGGCAAGUGCAGACACCCUUUGAUCAUAUUGUACCUAUGAACUUUAAAUACAUUUACUUUCCAUUGCAUGUAUCUUAAUACUGCAAACCCUAAGGACAUGACUAGUCUUCUACUAUAUUCCUUAUAUACCUGGGUUUAUACAUGGGUAGUAUAGUGAACAGUAGAUAUGCUUAGUUGCUCUACUCAUCUAAUCUAUAUAAUAAUAAAAAUAAUGAUCUUGCUUAAUAAAUUCUUCAAUGAUGAUAAAUGAUUAAAUGAUGAACAAUGGUCACUUCGGUGAUGGAGAUGUUGCGGUGCUUGCGAGCAUCGUGGUUUGGUUGAGGACAGGGGGAGCGGGUACCGUUGGUGGUCCGGUUUGCCGGGCGUACCCGUCUCUGCUCUCCGUAAGGACUUAGUCAGGGAGCGGCCCCCUGGGACUUACAGUGCAGCUCCAAGCUAUAUGGGCUCUGGCUUGACUAAUUAGCAGGACCUCCACUGGUAGGGUGUUACUUUCCGGGUAGGCGUAAGGAAUGUAGCUUGGGUAUUCAUAUUAAGAGGUCGGUCAGUUCGGGGUCCCAUUGCUAUGGGCACGACUGCCGCGCGCCCCGGCAAAAACUUACGAGUGGCAUCCUAUUAGUUGGACCCUGUGAAAGGUCUCGUAGUGAGACCCUGCCUGCUCACCUUGGCAGUGUUUUGGGGAGUCAUGACCCCGGGCAAAUGGGAAUCACGACUUGGAGUGAACGUGCACACCUCUGCAGAGUGUAAAACUGAUAUAUCAGCCGUGCUCACGGUCACGAGCGGCCCAGACCCUCACUUGAUGAGCAAAUUGGAUUCACUGGAUACUUGGAGGCGAAAUUUGGUUGAGGUUGCUACCUCGUGCUUUGGCGGAAUGGCUAUUCCGUGUUGGCAGGAUUGCUAUCCUGUGUUCUAAAUUGGGAUUGCUAUCCCAUGACCUUAAUGGGGUUGCUACCCCGAGUUACUAUCUGAGGUUGCUACCUCGGUAAUAAUUAUAAUGAUGAUUCAUAAAAUUGUUAAUAUACUUUCAUCUAAUUAAGGGUUGGGAUGCUUUACCCAUAUUUAGUAAUAGGUUGUUUUAAUAAUAGAGUUGUAAUAAAAGUUUACCAACUUAAAAGCUCACCUGCAGUUAAACAGUGUCAGCUUUUCCUUUGAUCAAGCCUUGCAUGUCAUUAUACUUUCCGCCUGUACUUGUUGAGUUCGACAUGAACUCACCCUUGCUAUUUCCCCCACACCCCAGUGUGUAGUAAAGUGCUGCUCAGAAGAAGGGUAUAGAUGCUAUGGAGUUUUCUAGAGGCUUAUCAGAAGUGCUUGGCGUACGGAGCCCCCAGUCAGCCGUCUCUGAGAAGAUUGGAGCCUAAGAAGUUUAGCUACUGUUUCCGCGUACUCUGAUAUUUUGUAAGUGUUAUUAUAAAUAUGUUUUCCGCUAUAUAUAACAUUGUUUUUGAUAUUUCUAUUCUUUGUUGUAUGUGUGGACUUCCUGGGCACACAUAUGACGACUCUGGUCUUAUUUUAAAAGCCAGGGUGUGACAGAUAUCCCAUCACAUUUCAUGUCCUCACGCACAUCAACAAAAUGGUGCCGCCGAACGCAAACAUCGACACAUUGUCGAGGUCGGCCUCACUCUUUUAGCCCAUGCUUCUAUGCCUCUUAAAUUUUGGGAUGAGGCAUUCAUCACAGCUGUCUUUCUUAUUAAUCGACUACCCACCAAAGUCAUAGACCACGACACACCUCAUGAACGUCUUCAUGGACAAGCUCCUGACUAUAUGUUUCUUCGCACCUUUGGAUGUGCAUGUUGGCCCAACCUUCGACCUUUUAAUCCUCGAAAGCUUGAGUUUCGAUCAAAAAAAUGUGUAUUUCUUGGUUACAGUAACCAUCAUAAAGGGUUCAAAUGUCUUGAGCCCACUACUGGUCGCAUUUAUAUUUCCCGUGAUGUGGUGUUUGAUGAACAUCUAUUUCCAUUUUCCAAACUUCAUCCUAAUGCGGGUGCCCAACUCCGUGCAGAGCUUACCCUUCUACCUGAUAUCCUUCUCAUCCCGUUACCUCACUCAAGUACUUGAUCAGUGUGUGAGUUCUUCAUUACCUACUAACUCAUCAUCAAAUUCUACUGGAGAAUUGAUGACUGCAGGUGAAACAAGCACAUGCACAAAUGGGAUCGGCUUCCUCUCCGGAUCGCUGACGACCUCAGGCGCAGCUGCGAGUCUAUCAGGCCCUCCUCCAACCAAUGGAGAUGCGGCCUUGUCAGGGCCAACCGCUGACCCCGUCGCAUCCGAUCCAUCUUCGUCGCAGCAGCAUGCAGCUGCCCAACCAGAUUCGACCAUGGACUCUGGAACGCCUAUUUCUGGACUCGGUGGUGCUUCGUCGCAACAUCAUGCGGUCGCACAACAAAAUUUGGCCUCAGAGUUUGGAAUGCCUAUUCCUGGACUUGGUGCAGCUUCAUCGCAGCAGCAUGCGGCCGCACAACCAAAUUUGGCCGUGGAGUCUGGUGCGUCUAUUCCUGAACUUGGUGCGGCUCCUACAUGCACGUCUGCACCGACUCCCUCUAUUCCAGUACCACCUCGUCCUGCCACUCGUUCUCAGCAUGGAAUUGUGCAGCCUAAGCGCCGCACUGACGGCACGGUCCGCUAGUGUAACCUUGCCACGACGAAGAGCCAUCGUCUGUUGAUGAUGCCAUGCAAGAUAAACGUUGGUCUUUGGCUAUGGAUGAAGAACAUAGUGCUCUUCUCAAUAAUCACACUUGGCAUUUGGUCCCACCUCCACGUGGCAAGAAUGUCAUUGGAUGCAAAUGGGUGUACAAGAUCAAAAAGAGAGCUGAUGGUCAAGUUGAACGGUACAAGGCGCGUUUGGUGGCCAAAGGUUAUCGACAACGCUAUGGUCUUGACUAUGAGGACACUUUCAGUCCGGUUGUCAAAGCUGCAACAAUUCGCAUUGGUUUGGCUGUAGCUCUAUCCAGAGGAUGGUCUCUUCGCCAAUUGGAUGUCAAAAAUGCUUUUCUUCAUGGUGUCCUUCAAGAGGAAGUGUAUAUGCAUCAACCACCUGGCUAUGUUGACUCCAAGUAUCCAGGCGAUGUUUGCAAACUAGACAAAGCUAUUUAUGGCCUAAAGCAAGCUCCUCGAGCAUGGCAUGCUCGUCUUUGUGCAAAACUUGAGUCUCUUGGAUUUGUUCCUUCCAAGGCAGAUGCAUCACUCUUCUACUUCAACAAGGGACGGUACACUCUAUUUGUCCUUGUUUAUGUUGAUGAUAUUAUAGUAGCUAGUUCAUCUCCCGAUGCUACCAAGGCCUUGCUUGUUGAUCUGCAACAUGACUUUGCACUUAAAGACUUAGGUGACCUUCAUUAUUUCUUGGGCAUCGAAGUCAAGAGGGGAAACACUAGUAUGCUUCUCACCCAAGAGAGAUAUGCCACAGAGGUACUAAAACGAUCUGGUAUGGACAAGUGUCAUCCUGUUGAUACACCACUGUGCAGCUCAGAGAAACUAAGUAUAGAAGAUGGGAACAAACUUGGAUCUGAAGAUGCUACUAAGUACCGUAGUGUGGUAGGAGCAUUGCAAUAUUUAACCCUAACAAGACCAGAUAUAUCCUUCGCAGUAAACAAGGUAUGUCAGUUCUUACAUUCACCUACCACUAUACAUUGGAGCGUUGUUAAAAGGAUCCUGAGGUACAUCAAAGGGACCACCAAACUUGGCAUUAAGCUUAGCAAAUCUGAAUCCAUGUUAGUAAGUGCCUUCUCAGAUGCUGAUUGGGCCGGUUGUGUGGAUGACCGAAAUCUACUGGAGGUUUUGCUGUAUUUCUUGGCAACAACCUGAUUUCUUGGACUGCUAAAAAGCAACCAACAGUGUCAAGAUCAAGCACUGAAGCUGAAUAUAAAGCACUCGCCAAUGCAACUGCAGAAAUAAUAUGGGUCCAGAAGUUGUUGAAUGAACUUGGGGUUAGGCACCCACCUAGAGCACGACUAUGGUGUGAUAAUCUACGUGCAACCUACCUUUCUGCAAAUCCAAUUUUUCAUGCACGAACAAAGCAUAUCGAAAUAGACUUUCACUUUGUCAAAGAAAGGGUGGCACAAAAAUUACUAGAAGUCAGGUUUAUCUCAACUGGAGAUCAGUUAGCUGAUGGCUUCACCAAAGCAUUACCAGUAAUCAAAUUGAAGAAAUUUAGAGACAAUCUCAACCUCCAAAGUGGCUGAGAUUGAGGGAGGAUGUUAGAAUAUAGUAGCUGAAAAUAGUGUGUGUGUUAGCGGUGCAUGUUAGUGUGUUGAAUAUGUUAGAAGCAUGACACAUGGCACAAUAUUCAGCAGUAUUGAAUAGACGCCAUACAUGCAUAGGCUAGAAGAGCUUGUAGAUUAAGUCAAGUCUUUAUUGUAAACGAUCUCCAUGUACAGCCACGAAGGGGGCUUUUCUCUUCACUAUAUAAACACGGAACCGGGAACCAGGAUGGUCAUCCCGUUACCUCCUAUUUCUAUACAUAGUCCAAUCAAGCUGCAUUUCGGCUGCUGCUAUCAUAUAUAUUAUUGCCUGCCGGAAUACCUCACUAUCGCCUGCGUUUAGGUAGCUAGUGUAGCAUCCUACCUGACCAAUCGCGAGUUCAGAACAAAGACCCUGUGUGGGGAUAUAAAAAUUAGAAUGUUCACUGCAUCCUGUGUGUGUGCUUUUCGUUCACUGUAUGGUAUGGUCUUAUAAAUCAAUAAAAUUAGCCGGCACGUGCCUGUUGUCUGAGAAGGGCAAAGGGCAAGGUAAUGUAAUGUAACGGCACACGGGUCCAGCAUGAGCCGGCACAGUUGGUAGAAUAGAGGCACAUGGUUUUUGUGCGUCUCUGGUCUCAUGCACAAACCUGCUGUCUGAUGAACAGCGCGCUCAUAUCAUUGGCACGACACCAGCAGUUCAAAAGUACACCCAUAACAGUGUCCUCCCUGUGCUGGCUCCAUUUGCUAUUGCACGGGCUUAAUAGUGACCAGACUUGAGUCGCCAAAAGUGUGUUCACACGAGAAAACUGAACACACACAGAGAGAUCAAGGGCUUCGGGCUUCAUCAACCAGAUCUCAGAGAUUACUCGGUAGAUAGAAGAAACAGCGUGCGUCCUGAUGACACCGACGCCGUUGCAACGUCUCGGUUGAAGCCCAAAUAGGAACCGGCGGCGAAGCCCAAAUAGGCCGAGACAGGCUGGAAGAGAAGCGCCUGUUUUGCCAUGGUUGGGCCGGCGACGGGAGUGGAUGACUUUGGAUGCGUACCACGGCAGCGGACACUCCCUUUGAGCUUUGACGGUCGCUGAACUGUGAACAGGAGAACAAGGUCUUGUUCAAAACAACUUGUUGCUGUCGGCACUGCCAAGGUGUUCAUUUUCCCAUGCACAUAUCGACGCGAUCGGAGUUGUUGACAGCAGUUGUGGAUGAAAGUGUCCACGAGUCAUGCAUGACCGGGCCCGAUAGCAGUGGCCAGAGGCGCGCGAAGGAAGCGCAAGGCGGAACAGCGCGCGGCGGGCCGUGCGUGCGUGACGGAGCCAAUGCGCAAUGCUGCGCGGCCGUGAUGUGGAGUGGCCAUGCGGCGGCAACCGGCCGCCGGGGAGGGUCCAGGACGUGACUUGUUGAGCGGUGGGCGACGCGGGCCGUCCCGUCCCGCCGCGCAGCGCCUGGCGCCUGCACCCCACGGCUCCACCUCCACUUCCACCUCCACCGCCGCCCACCCUGCCGGCCGUACGGUGGGUGGGCUCCGGCGCCCACUUCACCGACAGACUACUGUUGGCCCCCGCCGGCCCGCGCGUCAGGGGAACAGGGGCGCCUCGUGCUCCGCGCAGGAAUGGAUCAUCCAAGUGCCCAUGACUAUGAGGCCACCCACCAUGACAGGAAGCCACCAGGCCACCACGGCUGGCACUGGCAAGGGCCGGCUUUUUACCAAUGAAUGAUGCGUGCGCUGCCGCAGCCCGCAGCCUUGCGCUUGCCUCCCCGGCCUCCAUGGCGCGCUGCCGCUGCCACUUGGGCGGGAGACACGCCGCGGGCUGCCAAUGCUCGGGGGACAGACAGCCCGUCAGCGCGCGCCCCCGACCCUGCCGGCCAGGGCCCCCAGCAAAGCUCGUCGUCGUCGUCGUCACUUUCUCUCGUGAUCCAGUGUGCGGGGUGCGCGCCGUGGCGUGGCUCCAUGGGCAAUGAGUGGAUGACCGGUGCUGUUGGUCCGGUCCGGUCCGGUCCGGCGUCAGUGAGGUGGGGCACUCGGGGACGGCGACGGGGAGGAGGCAAGGGAGCCUGCGCUGCUCGUGGCCGUGGUCGUGGCGCAGCGGCAGGCUGCAGGCAUGUGUGGUGGCAGGAGUUUCAGGUACGAGUAGGUCAGUAGGACCUGCUGCCUUUUGUCGUGUCGGUCGGUAGAGCAACCGGUCGAUCGCAUGCAUGCAUCGGAUGGUGUUAAUUUGGCAAUGGUUUAUGUUCCUAGUGCUACGUGGCUCGUGAGUUUGUCGCUCACCUACCCCUCCGUCCCAUGAUGUAAAGAUCCUAUGGAGUCGAAAUUUGUCUAAAAGAGUUGAAGCGUCUAAAAUUUAAUUAAAUUUGUACAAAAAAUUACAGAGUGUAGUGACAUUAAAUAGAUAUACUAUGAAAAUAUAAGUAUUGAAGAAUCUAAUAAUACUUAGUUUAUAUCAUAAAUAUUAUUAUCAUACAAUAUAAAUUUGGUCAAACUUUAAACGCUUUAAAUCUUCAAGAUUCAUAGAAUGACUUAUAAUUUGGGAUGGAUGGAGUAUUAUAGUACUCUCUCCGUACCCACAAAAGAAGUCAUUUAGGAUAACGACACGAUCUCCAAAGCUUAAUUUUAACUCCUUGUUUUUUAUAAAAAUAUCUAUCACAAAGUGGUAUAUGUAUACUUUUAUCAAAAUAUUUUUCAAGACAAAUCUAUCUAUAUUGUUUUCACAUUUCCAAAUUUAACAACUUAAAAGUUAUUCAUGAUUUAUAUUCUCAAUGUUUAACCCAAACCUUGUCUAAAACGACUUUCUUUAUGGGUAUGGAGGAAGUAUUAUUUAACAUUGUAUUAAUAAUACUGUUAUUAGUGUUUUUGAGAGGUACCUAUGUUACAGUAUUUUGCUUAUAAUCGAUGAUGCGUCCUAGAAAUCCUCAUGGACGAAGGGAGUACCCUGCCGCUUGAACCAGCACUGCAUAUACCCAGCUAAGUUCCAUGCACAAAUGGAGGUCCAUUUUCAACCCAUUUCACUGCAUGAGAAACAUUAGGAGUUCUGGACAAAGUUGCCUAUCUCAAGAUCCAAAAGUGAAAACAAGCUGGAUCACAAGCAUCUGAUGCCCUCACAUGAAACACUGGCAUUAACGCUAUGACAUAAGAAAAUACGAAUUCAGAAGUGUGCGACCCUUCUCAUGCGAUGUAGAUGAAAGAAACCAUUCCCUUCUCAAGUCGAUUUCCAACCCUUCUCUGAAGCUUCUACUGCUGCCUGCAGAACCAAUGUAUUAUUUCAGUUUAUAAGGAUCAUUGCCAAAUAGUAACAGCUAAGCACUGGACGCAAUGAAUGUUGAUCACAUACUUAAUACAGAGAACAGCUAAGUUUUUCGUUUCUUUUGUUUGUAGCUAAAAAACUCAAUUUUUUAUUUAUUUUGAUUUGAUGUUUAACUGAACCCAAACAACACCCAACAAAAUGAGGGGUUAGUCAAAAGACUUACUUGUGGAGACUUUCCAUGCCAGCUUGAAGUUUCUUUCCAUCAGCACCCACAAUUUCAUCAAUCUUCUGCCCCUUGUGAUAGAAGUGAAACGUAGGCUGUGGAAGAAUCAAACACAUCAAUGACACCAUAUUGUUGUUGGUUGCACAACAAGAAAGAUCAAAAUUAUUAUAAUAUUAAUAUGCAAUGAAUUAAAGUUUGAUAUUUUUUUUUACCACUGAACAUAUAUUUAGACCAUGGAGUUUGUUUCCCAGUCCUUCCUGUAAAGCAAAGCAAAGACAGGAAACAAAAAAAAAAAAACAUUAUCAACAAUAUAAACAAGAACGGCCUGAAGAAUAAAUUGACAAUUUCAAACAUGUGGUUUGUUUUUAUAAUGCAUGAGUUCGUCCUGGCCUCCUGGAAACAAAUGGAACUUUGGUAUCAUUGUAUUAAAAAAAUAUUCAUUUUGAUGUGAAAACAACCACUAUGGACACGGUUCUAGUCCAAAACCUAAUAAGCAACUGUCAUCUACAAAACAGCUAUGUAUAUUGAGGGGGAGGCCACAUCUCGUAUCGGAACCGAUACAGAUACGCUAUGGUUAUGCAGUGGAUACAUAUCCACACCUUAUCGGAAAUAAAAAACAAACAAAAAAACUUCUGAUAUGUGACUCCCUGAUUUGUGAUACCGCCCAGUCCUAGUAUACCUCCGACUCCCGAUUUCUCUUGUUGUUGCCCUAAUGGAUGUACCAGAGAUGCGCAUGUAUCACCGCCCUCCAGUCUUCGAGAGUGCUGCAGCCCGCCACCUACAGGUUGCAGGCUGUAUAACUUCUCGGCAGUGAGCCAUGAAGACUCAGCCAAGCUCCACAAGCUCCAUGUGUUCUUCACUCAGUGCAAUGGCCAUCUACUCUAUGCUCCACAGGGCAGCCAAGGAGCCCAAGGUGAACCUCUGGUAAGUCUCUCCGCCAUGUCCCUUCCUUCUUUUACCUAUCUCCCCAUGCUCUCCCCACAAGCUCCGAACAGCAGCAAUGGCUACCAUGGCCGACCAUCCCUCCCUCUCGAUGUAAUGUCCAUCAACAACAGUGGACGAAUUCUCCACUCCCAAAAUAGAGAUGUUUGGCUUAUACAUUGAUUAGUGUUCUGUACUUAGGUUGGAACAAAGCAAAACUGCAACUGGUGGCAAUUUCAAUGCUCCUUAUUUCCUUCGAGGCUGCUCCUGGUUUUAGAAUUUUACUAUGCAUAGUUAUUUAUUUAUUUAAGAAAUGCUAAAACAUAACUGCCUAUCAGGCUAUUAGGGAAAUGCUACAUCUGUGUAUCUGUAUCCUCGCGAUACUGAUAUGCAUAUCCGUAUCCAAGCUUCAUAGCAUAACAGGCAGCCUGGUUCUAAAGAACUUAAGUGAUGCAGUAACAAUGUCGAUCAAACAUACCAAAAUCUACUUUUGCACAGAUUUAACCUGAAUUUAAAUUUGCGAUGCUAGAGAAGCAAUAUGAAACAGAGUUAAUAUGGACAAAGCUUGUGGGUAUUCUUCAUUUCUUCCUGAACUGGAAUUGGUUAGUGAGAACCAAUAGUUAGAGGUUAAGUACCCUAAACAAUAGCAAACCAGUUGCAAUUACAACUCUACAGCAGAGAUCUUAAAACUGGUAUAUUGAAAACAAGUGGCGGGUGAUGAAGAAGCAGCAGACUGUGACUUUGGAUAAUCAUAUUCCUGAUCCCCAUAUUAAUCCAAACAGUACAUACUUAACAGGCAAUUUCUGGCAUAUCACAGUAGCAGUAAAAUCUAAAUUCGCAGACUUACCAAUUCAAUGUCAACUUUGUAUACAGGUAUCUUAGGAUACUGGCUGCUCAAUUUAGAUACAAGAGGUGCAAUCGCCCUACCUGCAGUGCAGCCCAAUCACACAACAAAGUUAUGACACAAAACCAACGAAGCCCUAAACUUAGCAACGCUGGCAUCAGAAUGAGGCAGUACUUACAUGGUCCACACCACACGGCCGUGUAGUAGAACACGGCUGGUAGCUUCUCAUCUGCAAAAUCCACAGGGAUCAUAGCCAGUCAGGCACAAGAAGAGAACGAACAAACUGUCCGCACCGCCAUGACCCAAUUCAUCACCCAGCACAAGACAUACCAAGGGGAGGCAAGGACGGACUAGCAUCUAGCAGGGUUUGGAAACGGGGAGAAGAGGAAAUCGGCGCCGUACCUUGCACCUUGGAAAGGAUGCUGUUGAAGGAAUCCGCGGAGCCCACGACCACCAUGCUGGAACCACCUGCAACACAGCCAAUCCAAACGACCCGUCAGUCGUCGAGCGCCACGCAAAAUUCCGGCGGGGCAUGGGCGAGACGGAAGGAGGAUCGAGUCAUGUAGAGGAAUACUCGCUGAAGAGAAGAGGCGAUAGGGAGCGGCAAAACCGGGCGGCGACGAUGCCGACGAGGAGGGGGCGAGGGGCGCGGGGCUAGGGUUCACGGCGAAGGGGAGGUGGUGAGGUCUCGGGGCGGCGGAGGCGGAGGCGGAUGCGGAGACGAGGCGAUAGAGACGGCACAAUCGGCGAGCCAUACUGCGGAAGUGCGGAGUGUGGUGCACGGUAGCGGUGGCGGCCGUUAAGGCCCGGAAUCCACCGCUGGACUCUCCAAAAUUGGUCAAUUGGGCCUCCAUUACCGUUUCAGGCCCAACUAUGAGCAACUUUUCUGGGCGAUGGGAGGGGAAGGAAAAGCCUCCCUAAACUAUUGCUGAAGUCUAACUUAUCUCCUGUAUAUGUGCAGAACUCUAAACCAGAUAAUUUGUCUCACUCAACUCUCAAAACCUUUUAAAUUACCUCUUACUUCAUUUAGUAGUUAUUUUCAAAGAGGUUUCAUACUCUUUUAACAAAAAAUUGAUAAACAUCUAAUAAGAUUUUCAAACCUAGAAGAAAAAUCUCUAAGCUUCUAAAAUUUUCAAGAAAAAAGAUCUUGGUGAUAGAUUGGGACACAUAAAUAAAACAAAUAAGUAUUUAGAGCACAUGAAAACAUCUCUAGAAACUUCUAAAUAUGGACGUAAAUCUAUAAAUUGAAAGAAUAUAUAAAAAAUUUUAAAACAACCUAAUCGAUGCCUAGAUAAAUCCUAAAAAUUUCCAUAACAAAAACACAAAGGUGCAAUGCAUUUAACAUUAAUGUAUGUUGUGUUUAUCCUAGUUGCAUCUCAUAUUUUGAUUGUGGAAAGUUUUUAGAAACACAUUUAGGCACUGAUGAACAUAAGUAUUGCCCCUCUAACCAUGUACGAAAAAGGUUGGGCAAAUAAAAUUUGAGGGUGAUGAAAUCGCCAUAAAUGUCUCGUUUUAUAUAAUAAAGGAAAUAAUUGACAACCAAGUUAAGUCAAAACUCGAUUCAAGUGAAUGUUGUAAUACUAGGAACUUAGCUAACUUAGUUAUAUAUGUUCGGUUCUAUUGACCAGUAAAAGUUUAAGGCCCCUUGGAAUGUAGGAAUUUUUUGCUAUUGCGUUUUUAAAUUAAAUAAAUUGAUUCUUAAUACAGGAUUGUUCUAAAUUUUUUGUGAUCCAAAGGAGUCAUAAAUAGAAAAUACUGGCAAGUCAUCUAUUUGACCUUAGGAUAAUCAGGUUGUUGUUGAGCCGUUGAUCUUUCCAGUUUAUCUUAGACAUGAUGACUAUCUAGAACACUUUAAUGGAUGAACCCUCUUCUCUGCAUCACGGAUCACCAAAGACAACGCCCUUGCCUGCCGCUUGUCGGCAGGGACGAAGCCAGAAAAAAAUUUAGGAGGGGCUGAACAAAAAUUCUACAUCGACCUAGCUCUACUAUUAUCCCUCGUAAUAAAAAAAUAUAUUAGUUUAAAGUAGUCUUAGAUUAAAAAUAUAGACCAAUAAUGAAAUUCACAAAAUAUAUCUAAAAAAUAAAGUUCUCAGCUCAUCCUACUUUAUAAAUUUAUGUCUAAAAUUAAAAGAAAAACACUAAAAAUUUCACUAGGCCAGCAGCCGUAGGGGGUCUCCCCCUAGCCCUACCGCUGGCUUCGUGGCCACCUCAUCCUCAACCUGGCCUAGAUCUGCCACGAGUGGCAACAGGGAAAGCUAAACCAAUUGCCACGGUCGAGCCGCUGGCCGUUGUUGUGUUUUGACGCACCGACACCAGGCACAAGCUUCUUGUCACCUCGAUAAUGAAAUGCAGCCAUAGCUGAGCUCGUUGUCCAAUAAAUGAUUUCACAAGUUGGUGUUCUCCACGCGAUGACCCAUGCCUUAACUUCGAGAUCGAUGAAGACUUGGUGUUUUUGUUUGAGAAGAUAUGAUGAAAUAAUUCUAUUUUAGUAUUUUUACAUUGGAAUCAAAUAUGGUACUUGGUUAAAAAGAAAUUAAAUGAAAUCAUCUUAGUUUUGUAUUUGGUUAGAGGGAUGAGAAUAUGAUUUAUUAGACAUCCAUUAAGUGAAAUACGCGUGCUAUCCUCUCUCACCUUCUUCUUCACAUGGUCUCCUAGUCUACAGCUACCUUGGACCUAACUGACACCGCCUCCUACCCAUAGCUCCGCAUUUGGCUCCACCAGUUGGUAAUUGCAUGUCCAAAUAAGACAAACAAGUUCACCUCUACUCCUCUCAUUGUCCUGUUUACCUAGUCACCCUCGCCCACGACUCCAGACCUCGCCUCCCUCCACCGGUCACCCCUCGCCUCCACCUUCAACUCCCCCCAUGUUCUAAAUUGUGAUACACCCGAAACUACGGGGUCUAUCAGCGAACGGUGUAAUACUGGCUCAAAAGUCAUGAUUGAAAGUAGUGUUCGCUGAUUUGUUGUGAGAAAAAACACACUGAACUUUGUUUAGGCCCACUCAACUAAUUAGUUGGGGAAAUCAGCUAAUAACUAAUUGUUAGCUUGAUGAUAAGUAAAACAUCAACCGACUUAUUAACUAAGGAUUAAAAAAAACCUUAAUUAUUUUUUAGAAGCUAGUUGUUACAGAUAUAUCCAAAAUGUCACAGCCUUUGAGGCCCAAAUCUCUUGGGUUUGCACGAGUAGAUUAUGCUGCAUGUGCUCGUGGACAACGUCCUCUUUUCAUGGGAAAGAAACUAGGGCUCCACUAUGCCACUAGGUACGCUUCCACAAAUCUUAAUUAUCUUCCAUUUGGUCUUAUCCUAGCCAGAGAUCUCUUCUUAUCUUGUCAAGCUUAAUUAAUUAAGCUGAUACAGUAUAUAUCUGUGUGUGUGCUCGCGUAACGGCGUGAGAAAGUAGCAUGGCACAUGGCCUAUAUGGCUAUAUAUAUGUGUGUGUUCUAGUGUCUCAAACGUGUGUAUGGUAAAAAAAAUAAGUGUUUGCUCGGACAGAUUAGGCCAUGGAAAUCGGACCAUUUUGCAAUAGUUUAGCAUUUAGCAACAGGGUCGUAAUGGUGGGAAGGGCAAUAUGUGCGGGCGAAGUGGUGAACGAGCACAUAAAAGUUCAGCAUAUGAAACGUGCGCUCUUUAGGUGAAUUAUUAUGGAAGAAGGGUACCAAAGAAAAUAGUUUCUUGACAGAGGUCCAAUCAAGUGCACAGUUACUUUAUUUGAUUAUUAGGUCAGUCUCAAUGCAUAGUUUAAUGACAUAGUUACCAAGACUAUAAACUAGGUAACCGAGCCACAAGAGUUUUAUGGGGAUGAAACUCCUCUCUCAUCUGAUGAAACUCCUUCAUUUCAUGACCCUGCCAAGUCAGAAAUUUUACUUAUGUGGCAACCUAUGUAAUGUGCAUGACACUCCCAUAAAACAUGUAUUGAGACUGGCCUUAGCGAAUCGGAGAUAAGAUCAUAGUAUGUCAGUAAUAAUAACCACAGUGCAAAAGCAAUCUGCAGCUGUCUUUUUGCCCCACACGCUGUACACUUCCACAAUGUUGUGUUAGACUUUGUGGCUCCUUUGCAUAGUUGGUCAGGUGUUUAAAACACCGUAACUACAACAAGAAAAGACUUGUGUUUACGAGCGUAUCUUGAGCUUCAAUGUCAAAUAGUAGGUGUUAAGUUUUUACAAUCCACACCACAUGAAAAAAAAUGAUUGUCUUUUUGCCUCAAUGUAUUUUUCUUGUGUUACUUAUUCUAGAUUAGUGGUUACUGGUUAGCUCUGUCCAAAAAAGUUGAACCCCCCUAAACAUUUUAUGUAGUAGUAAAUAAUAUGUAUCGACGUAUUGAAAUAACAUCAUUAAGGUAAUUAAUAUUACUAUGCCAACCUAGCCCACAAUAAAAAAAAUUUCAUAGCAAACUUCAUAAACCAUAUUCAAGAAAUGUUUUACAAAACGAACUCGCUGCAUGCACGCCAUUCUGGUGCUCUGAUCCAAUCUCUGUUGAUGAGAAGAAAGCAGCAACUAGAUGUGUGGUCUGAACCUGAUACCACCACCACAGGAGAUAAGAAAAUUCGUCGCGUCCGUACCGCAUGGUUCAAUGUGCGCCGUACACCAUUUGCCUAUCGUUGCACUGAACCGGCCUGGCUGCGUGUGUUUUGUUGUGUAACCACAUGUGCCCUGUCCUGCUCCUCUUUUCUGACGAGAGAAGAAAAAAAACACACACCAUUGUCCCUGCAGAAAAGAAUGAGUUGAGGGGCCUGCCGCGGUGGCGCCUCUGCUAAUUCAUACUCUAUUAUUUGUCCUAAACUCUUGAUCUCCUGAAUUAAUUAGGAAUAUACAUGUAGAUUCUAGACUAAUUUUUUUUGAACAAUGUAUGAAUUAGCAGAUUCCUUCUGCGAGUUUGAAUAAAUUCUGUGUUCAGUCUGCCUUGGUACACCUGUAGGAUGUCUCACAAUUGACAAUCCGGCAGAUAAUUUGUAUGUUGUACUGGUAAAAAAACGUAAACUCCAUGGUGCACCUACGUCGUGCCAAAAGCUAAUAAUGGGUUUAGUUUCCAUCUCUCUCUGGCUGCACUGCACCCUGCUCCUCCGCAGGAGAAAACUCAUGGCACGGCCCAGCUAAAGGGCCGUCCACUCCGGCAUGCCGGAAGCCGGAUCCAGCAUCCGGGCAUGGAGAAAGCGGCAUAAACCCCUCAAUUUCCAUCGCGAGACUGUUCCAUUCCAUAUGGAUCUACUAUCUCCUCUGCAGCAGCAGCUGGCGGGCGAUCGACCGACCGAUCUCACCCACAAGUCUAACGAACGAACUGGCCAGCUGCAGGCUGCAGGCAUCUCUCUGCAGCAGCAGCGAUCAGGGCCAUGCCGCCGCUGGUAGUGGUUGCAGCCAGGCUUCCACAGUUCCACUCCGCGCGUUUAGAUGCUGUUGCUAAAAGAUGCCCGCUGGGGCAUGAUGGAACUUCCCGCCGGACGACGACGAACGGAACGGGGGCAUGUGGCAUGCAUGAUGGCAAAGCAGGCAGCAUGGGCGCGAGGAGGCCCCCGUUGCAGCAGCAGCAGCAGCUACCUACCAGCACGAUCAGAUCAGGGGCUCGAUCGAUAGAUCGGCCGGGCGCCGACAAAGGUCUUGUUUAGUUCGUAAAAAUUUUUAAGAUUCUCCAUCACAUCGAAUCUUUGGUCGUAUGCAUGAAGUAUUAAAUAUAGACGAAAAUAAAAACUAAUUGCACAGUUUACCUGUAAUUUGUGAGAUGAAUCUUUUGAGCCUAGUUACUCCGUGAUUAGAUAAUGUUUGUCAAAUAAAAACGAAAUGCUACAGUACCAAAAAAUAAAAAAAUUUUCGAAACUAAACAAGGCUAUAAAGGCUACCGAGCUAGUAGAUGAUGGAUGCGGCUAGCUGAGCUCUGGCUGUCACCGGGGGAGGAGCAGGGUUGUGCGCUGCAUAUGCAACAGCUACAACGGGGUUAUGGGGGAUAACAGCUCCUGGGGACGACAGGGCCCUCCAUAUGCUCAUUGUCAUGCCGCCUUGUCCGGCCCGGAUAAAAGCUGCGUGCUUGCUGGUGCAUUGCAUGAGGUGUUUGUGUUAAACAAAGCCUAUAAAUGGAGAACUUGUAGAUAACGAAGCUGAAGUGACGGAUUGACGAGACUAAUGCAUGCUAGGUCUGAUCGGCCGCCCAUCACGCACCAAUUAAGCAAUGACGGCGUCCACGUGUUGAUCCAUGCAACCCAUCUACUGCUGUUGCUGCAUGUUAAUUGAAUCGUUGAUCAGAUGGACCGGCAACAGCUAGAAGACGGAGAAGCGAGGAAAGAGACGGCACUAGCUAGCUCGUUCAACGAUGGUUCAUGGUUCACACCGUACCAUACCAUGAUACCACUACGUACGACGGUAGCAGCUGCAACAGUCCGUGCGCAGCGGCUACAUACAUGGCGCGCCGAGCAGUAUCCAUGGACUGGCGCCUGGCGGGACGCGGCCACACUGCGCGACACUGUUCCGGAGCAUGCCAUGUCAAGUCUCGUCUCGGCGCGCGGCCGCGAUGGCGACGGCGGGGUCCCUGCCGACCCGCCGGCCGGGGUUAGUUAUUGGGAAGCAUGUCCAGCUGCAUGCACCUCCGACGCGCCCCCAGCUACCGUGAUCGUAGCUGGGCCUUGUUUAGUUCCGAAUUGUUUAGUUCUCGGAAGUAUCAUAGUAUUUUCGUUUUUUAUUUGAUAAAUAUUAUUUAAUUAUGGACUAACUAGGUUUAAAAGAUUUAUCUCGUGAUUUACAGAUAAACUGUAUAAUUAGUUUUUGUUUUCAUCUAUAUCUAAUGUUUCAUGCAUGUAUCUUAAAAUUUGAUGUGCCGUGAAAUGUUCGAAAAGAUUUUAGUUUUUAAGGUGAACUAAACAAGACCCUAUAGUACUAGUGUCCUGUUUGUGAAAUCUGGAUGGAGCAACGAGCCAGCGGCAGAGACAAGGGCCAGCAGCUCUGUGCCAUGCGGCGGGGCGCCGGGCGUCUUUUGGGCAGCUAUGUAUAGGCAGAGACAGAGUAGCUUCAUGCUGCGCCGCAGCGUACGUACAUACUAGUAGGUAGCUAUGUAUAGGCAGCAGGAGGAGAGGAAUCGCCUUCGCGUCCCUGGAGUGGAUCCGGUGGGGAGAUUUUUACAGCUUCAGCUCGUUGGUUCCUGCGAGAACGAUCGCAUUCGCAUCAGGAUCCAGCAUGCUCGCCGGCAUCUCUUGUUCGAUCAGCAAAUGCUCCUGUCCAGUGCAGUGAGCGGCCCGUUCCCUCAGCUCGCGCGUCGGCACGGCGGCCGCUCAGUAAUUGGCUGGCGUGCCUCGACCCGUUCGAGCAGACGACGACGACGACGGCGAGGGCGCAUCCGCAUGCAUGCAGCAACGGAGAAUAGUUUCGCACGGUGACUAUUGCCUCUGUCCUGGUCCUGGCGGUGCCGGGGCUCUGGCUACUCAUCUUUUCCUGCGUCCUCGGCCUGAGAUAUCAUCGUUAUGGGCCAGCAACAUCUGCUAGCUGCGACGUGUUGACCGGCCGGCCGGGCCAUCUCGCUGGACCGACGAGCGAGGCGAGAGCCCACAACCACGGGCUGUACCGCGAAAUUGAAUUCCAGGUUGAUUAUUGAUGAGAAGAUGGCUGUGCCACAGACACAGUCGUUCUUCGUGGUGGUCACGACGUGAUGAUGCUGGCCUGGCCUGGCCCGGCCCGUUCACUGUCACACGUGUGAUAUGGUACUCAGGCCCUGAGGGUUUACUACGUCAGGAACAAACGUGUAUGGCUGUCAGAUAACGGAUUAUUAGGACAGCAGCACCGGGCACCCAAGGACCCUCAAGCAAUGUACUCCAGUGCUGCCUUGCUGUAGUGCAUGGUAACUGUCACAUGCUGCGCCUAUUCUUGCACCUGGGCGAAGCCACGUUGUGGCCACUAGAUGCCCAGGCACCCACGGCAAAAUUGCAGCCACGUUAUAAGAGCAUCUCCAAGUGUUUUAUAUUUGAGGUUUGCAUUUGAGUAAUUUGAUCAAAAAGCUCCAAAAGAGGUAUCCAACGGUUUUGCAUUUGGAGUUUGUAAUUUGGGUAACUUGGCAAAUGAGGGAGCAAACUUGGCAAAAAUGCCAAGCUGUGGACGACUUUGCAAACCUGAUUGCGCGAGUAAAGUCACACGCGAGGAAAGCGCGCGCGCCUGGAGACCUUCUAUUUUUAUCCCUUGCCAAGUCCAAAUGCCAAUUCCCUUGGAGAUGACCUAUUUUUAUCCUUUGCAUUUUGUUAUGAGAGUUUGCAAAUAGCAACAAAUGUCAAGUCAAUUUGCCAAAGCCUUUGGAGAUGCUCUAAGGAACAAAUUUCCACCCUUUGUGCAACCCCGUGGCCCAAAAGAAGGCACCUCCACCGGCCUAACUGCCCAAACUCAUGUGCUAUGCAUGUCGCAUGUAGCUUCCAGGAGAAGGAUGUCAAUACGCAGUGAAAUUUUUGUUGUGUCUUUGACCACGCGUGAGUCUGCGAGUGCGAGAGGAGGCGCAACGUUUCGUCUGCCGCAGCGAGCCAUUGACGCAACUACGCAAGGGCGGCAGCGGCAAGGCACCAAGUCCUGCGCCCCUUCUCAAGGCACGACGCCUGCGCCCCUUCCCCUUCCCAGCUUCCCAGUCGUCGACUCGUCGAGCCGAGCUGAGCACCGACUGCUGCGGCAACCGCUGGAUGUGAGCGCCCUCAUCCUCACAUCCCACUGUUCUAGACUUCUGGUCCCAAAGAAAAGGGAAGGAAUCAAUUCCUUAAUUUAUUUAUCUUGUAUUUCAAUCAAGUUAAGCCUCACAUCCGAUCGGGCAUCCGAUUUUGAUUCUUUCUGGAAUCCUGGUUAUAAGUUGAAAUUUAGUAGGAUACAGUUUAGGGUUAGCGUGUUACUUUUUGUUUAAAUUUUCAAUAAAUUCCAGUAUGGGGUGAAACCCCUCCUGUUUCCUCAAAAAAAAUUGGGGUUUUCUCCUUUUAGCAUAUGCAUAUACAUUUAUGAUAGUAUGGAUCUACAGUUUGAUUAUGUUUGCAAAUGAUAGGUAAUCAUGGAGAGGUUUUAUAAACGUGGAGCUCAAGACAUAGACACUGCCAACAAUAAUAGAAAUUCAUGUCUAGAUGAUCUCAGUUGGGAAGAGGAGAUUAAAUAUGAUCCAGGCUUGAGAAAACAAAUUGAUGCUUACCAUCCUAACCAUAGAGAAAAGGCCAGAAGAAAAUAUUUGGAAAAUGGACCUUGCCAGCCUCGCACAUGUAAUUUUCCUGUGUGUGAUAUUGGAGACAAGCCGAGAAGAUUUAUCCCGGAAUGGUUUGAUGAGUUUGGAAGCUGGAUUGAAUAUAGUGAGUCAAAGGAUAGAGCAUAUUGUUUUUGUUGUUUCUUAUUCACAGACCGGGACAGGUUAAAUCAAGAUAAAUGCCUUCAAAGACCCGGAGAUACUCGUUGGAGUUCUCAUUACAAAACUUUCAAAAGUUUAGUCAACAUGUUUCCUACAAUAGUUGAAGUGUUAAAAGCUGUUGAAAAGGAUGACAGAGAUUGGAAAAAUAGAGAUCAAGCAUCAAAUCUUCUAGUAUACUUCAAAUCAUUGGACUUUGCCUUUUGUUUGCAUCUCAUGUUGACUACAUUAACUGCCACAAAUGCCUUGUCAUUAGCAUUGCAACGCAAGGAUCAAGACAUUGUUAAUGCCAUUGGAUGUGUGAAAUCAACUAGACUCCAUUUGAAUAACGUUAGAAGAGAUGAGUGGGACAAAUUAUUAGAUGAAGUGAAUGAGUUUUGCGACAAGCGUGAAAUUGACCGAGUGGAGAUGGAAGAUACAUAUAUUGAUCCCUGACAACCUAGAAAAAAAAUAGGAAUUACAUACAAGCAUCACUAUGAAGUGGAUUGCUUUAAUGAUGUUAUUGAUUGGCUAGUUCAAGAGCUUGAUAGCCACUUUAGUGAGACAAGCUCUCAAUUGCUUGUUUGCUCGGCUGCUUUCGACCUAAGGGAUCAAUUUCAUGCUUUUGAUGUGGAGACUUUGAUGAGCUUAGCAAAACUAUAUCCUCAUGAUUUUAGUUAUGAUGAGUUGAGGGAGCUUAGCCAUGAUCUUUGCCUUUACAUUGCAGAUGUGCCAGAAGAUGCUAGAUUCUCCAACAUCAACACUAUCGUUGAGCUCUCUCAAAAAAUGGUUGAGAUAGGAAAACAUCAUUGUUAUCCAUUGGUCUAUCGACUUUUGAAGCUUGUAUACUAGUAUUGCCUGUCGCUACUGCAACAGUUGAGAGAUGCUUUUCUGGAAUGAAGAUUGUCAAAACAAGUUCGUUUGAUCGCAUGGGUGAUCAACACUUGAGUCAUAGACGUAUUUGCUAUCUAGAGAAAGAAGAAAUGAAGAAAGUAAGCAACGAGGCUGUGGUUUGUCGGUUCAUGACCAUGGAAGGAAAAUGGCGUAAAUAUGAUCUCUGAUAGAUAAUGCAAUGUAUCUAAUUUUAAUCGAUAUUUCUACAAUUUAUUUGCUAAAUAAUUGACCUAUAUUUUCUCUUUCCUUUUAGCCAAGGCUUGGGAUCUACAUCAUGGUCUCCUGGAUAAAAGAUUUUGCUAUAUGGGCAUGUUUUCAUGAUGAUUUUGGCAUUCUAAAUGAAUACACUUCUUUUCUGUUAAAUGGUGAGUGCUAUAUUUCGACCAAAAUCUCAUCUCUAUUGCUAGAAGUCGAAUUUGAUAUUAAAAUAUGGUAGCUGCACAUUAGUUAUGCUAUUGUUGAUUGAACAUUAUAUGAGUUAUGAAUUAAGUAGUGCACCCCCUGUCAUUUUGCUUUAGCUUGGCCUCUCUCGCCCACAAUCAUUUCGGGUUCGUGUUCAUGAGCCUCUAGCCCUCUACACUACAGCGACCCAACGAGGCAAAGGUAUCGACAGAAACAGAUUACUUCUUGUCUUCCGUGGCGAGUAAAGGUGCUCUGGACUGGACUGGACUGGACUUGACUGUGGCGCUUUUGCCAAUCCUGGACGGGCAGGCGUAGCUAGCGGUGAUCUGAUGAACCAAUCCCUGCGGCAACGCAGCGAGCAGCGCCACUCCCGCUAGCGUAUCGAGGCACCCGUCCGUCCGUGUCUCCAAUUAUUGACGAGCUUGCCGCUGCGCGAGGUGCCGGGAGCAGGGAGCUGCGCGCGCACUCGCCGACUCGCCAACGACGACGCCGAUCCUGACCUGAAACCUGCGGAAUCCAUCCACCCAUCUCGGUGUCCGUCCAUCACAAACACCACCCGACCGUGCUGCCCUGCGCCCUCUGCUGAUGAUGGUCUCGUCCCGACCCUGCUUUUCCCUACACACAGCAUGCAUGGGAUCGGUGGAGAGGAGAGAUGCAUGGGGCCGGCAGCCGGCUAGCUCUGCCUGGACCAUGGGUGGUGCGUCCGUCCGGCCAGCCAGCAAGCUCGCUCACGCGUAGCGCGUCGAAACCCAAUCCACUGCGUGCCGUUCGUUGUUAGGGAGGCAGCGACCGGGCGCUGCCGUGCGCUCACACAUCCUCCGUCCGUCCGUCCGCCACGCCACCCGGCCCGUUUGACCGUAUGAUCCCUCGCUAGUCAGUAGUCACUCCCCCUACCACCUGGAGUACCUCCUCAAUUGACCAUGCAUUCCCAUCUUACGUCUCGUCCCUGGUCUCGCGAACGACGGCUUGCAUUGCACCUCCGGGCGCUGGGCGCCGGGACCAGUGAGCCUACGAGUGCUGCUGCUGCUGCCUGCGCCUGCCUGCCUGACACAUCGCGAUCCCCCAUUUUGCAUUCGCUUUGUCUGCUCAUCCCGUUAAGGCCUUGUUGAGUUCCGAAAAGUGAAAAGUUUUCGGUACUGUAGCACUUUCGUUUGUUUGUGACAAAUAUUAUCUAAUUAUGGACUAACUAGGAUCAAAAGAUUCGUCUCGUGAUUUACAGCUAAACUGUAUAAUUAGUUUUUGUUUUUGUCUAUAUUUAAUAUUUCAUGCAUGUGACACAAGAUUCGAUGUGACUGGAAAUCUUAAAAACUUUUUGGUUUUCAGGCCUAAGUUCCACUGAUAGGGAUCCGGGAGUACUUGGGUGAUUCAAAAGUUGGCUUAACCGUCGCAAGGGAAUUCAGGCCAGAUCUAGUUUUGAUAACCUGGGCCCUUUGUGAACAACUUUCAUUCGGCCAGCUCGGGAACGGGCGGCCCAUGGAGGUAGACGCUUCUGGGCCAGCCUUCACGAGUGAGCCAAUUCCAAGUCGAACCACGACGGCGGCCGUGCGGUACACUCUGCUAGGGCUACGGGCAUCACCCCGAGGCCGGCCCAGAAUAUGCACAUAUUUUUUGUUCUGAUAUAUAAACGUGAACGCUUGUAUACAGACGUGCGGUAAAGACGUGCAUAGCCAAUAAAUCUCGAGAUUAAGAAAAUCAUCGUAUAUGCCUUGUUGUCGAUGAGUACGUGUCCAUACUUUAGAUAUGUAUAAAUUAUAGAACCAAUCCUGUGUCUGAAUUUCAAACAAAAUAUGUCAUUCCCUGGUGGAGUGGCUUCCGAAAACUGUACCCGUAGAGAAUGACUUUAGCUAAAACUUUAUGUGAUUUAAUUGUCAUAAGAAUGAAACUUUUUUAUUAUUAUAAUCAUUUUAUAAAUGAAUGAAAAUCGUUCUCCCAUUAAAAAAUUUAGUUUUAGAACAAAUGAGCCAUGCUUUUUUCUUGACGAUUCUUGAGUUUAUUUUGCAUACUUCCAAAUUUAGUUUGAAAUUUGAAACUAAUUUUGAGCAUGUGUUUUGUUAAAGAGAAAUGCUUAGAUUUAUUAUAAGCAUUCAAAAAAAAGUUUAGUUUUUUAUUUGUGGAUGCUAAAAAAUUUGAGCUUGUUAUGAAUGCAUUUGAACUUAAUUUAAAGAAACUAUAUUUGUGGUUUGUUAAACAACUCCAGAUUUCACUUGAGCAAGGAUGCGUGGUAAAGAAGCUGCAGCAUAAGAUACUUAUUUUUGAAUUAUGAAUUUGUACAUUUUUUUUUAAAAAAAUUGAUAAACAUUUGGUGCUAAUCAACUUAAUCGAAAACUCAAAUAUAACAUUAUGGGAAAAUUUUAAUUUAAAAAAUACAAACAAUUUUAUACCAACAAAGCAAAAAAAAGGAAUGUUUGGGACGACUCCACUCUACGUUUUUCACCUUCGCUCUACGUUUUUUAGUCAAAACGGUUUUAGCUUUAUGCACUCUGUUCGAGAAAAUAGAUGGAAUUAUGAGAGCACCUAAAGAGGUGCUCUACAAACUCUAAUUUUUAUGAAAAUUGCUCCAUUUGUGGAGUAGAGUUUAUAUAUUAGUCUCAAACACCCCUUGAAUAGGCCGUGCUUGAAGUUUAGCGCCUAUUUGAAAACUUACAUAAUUUUUUUAGGCCACUAGGUCCUUGUUUUGGAUCAAUAAAAUACAUUAAAAAAAGGUUAGGUCAUCUUUCCGAAGUUGCUCGCCCAUAAAAAAAUAUUUUAUAAAAACUCUAAUCCUUGUUUUGUACGGAUUAACCCUUUUACUGAUAUACGAUUUUACCUAAAUUUGCUUGAAGAAAGGUUUUUGGAAGACAUCCAUAUUUUGUUUGUUGAUUUGUUAUAAGAAAAAAAAGUAUUGUACCAUGGCUGAUAAGUUUAUUUUGUCUUUAGAAUUCAGCAGAUAUAAUGUAUAUUUAUAUAUUAUAUACAACAUUUUAUUUAAUGAAAAAAAAAUCGGCCUUAUGCCGCCAGGAGCACGUGUGAUUUGGUACGUUUGCCGGUGUCGUGCGCCCGUGCAGUGGAGCACUGGAGCUAGGGCAAAAGCUGGAUACGUACGAAUGAGUCCGUGCAGCGCCGGCGUGCGACGAAUGAGUCCGCGGCGUGCGAUCCGUGCCUAGUCAUCGGAUUCCAGCAUCAAUAAUCGUGUCAACGACCUUCGAGAAUGCUUACAUAACAUACGAGAUUAGGAGUAUCAUCUAGACUCAGAUAUGAAAUCUGAUUUACAUGCAUUCGUCACUACAGGAUUAUGAUAUUGUGCCAAGUGUUUGGGCACUCGGCAAAGACCUAUCUCGCACUUGACAAAGGUUUUACCGAGCGUCCACUCGGCAAAGAAUUCAUCGGUAAAGAGAUUUUUUGCCGAGUGUUACAUGUCAGAUACUCGGCAAAGGCUUUUGUCGAGUGCCACAUCAGCACUUGGCAAAGAUAAAAAUAAAAAAAACCCAAAAAAUAGGAAAAAAUCUUUUUAUUGGGAGGGCUACCAAUUUUGACAAGAUUCGAACAUAGGAUCUUUUUCACAAGCAUUUUACUCCUUAUCCACUGCACUACACCAUCACUUAUGUCUAUAUUUAAUUUUGGUUCCUCAUAUAUUAUACCAAAUCACAUGUAAAUUGGUUAUUUGAGCCUCUAUACGAUUUCAAAUCAAAACAUUGUCAACUACAAAGUUUUAUAACUUUUUGAGAUCUAUAAUUUUCAUUUAGGGAGUUUCUCCAUCCGAGGUCAUUUAUAAAAUUUGAAUUUCAAAUUUAAGAAAUUUAAACGUAGUUUUUGCAUGACAAGAUGAUUUCAAAUCAAAACGUUAUCAACUAUAAAGUUUUAUAACUUUUCAAGACCUACAAAGUUUAUUUAGGCAGUUUUUUCAUCUGAGGUAAUUUCAGAAAAUCAAAUUUAAACAUUUUCAAAUAAAGACGCAGUUUGGAAUGACAAGAUAAACUCAAAUAAAAAAGUUGCCAAACUAUAAAAUUUCAUAACUUCUCAAGAACUUCAAAGUUUAUUUUUGUUUGUUUGGUCAUUUGCUCAUCUGACACUGUAAUUCUAACAUCAUUUUUCACAAAUCUUAUAGAACUAUAAGAGAGAUGUAAAAUUUAAACAAAUUUAUUUUUAUUUUGUUAAAUAAAGAAAUAGCCAAAAUAAAUAUUAUAGAUCUUGAGAAGUUAUACAACUUUGUAGUUCAAAACUUUUUGAUUUGAAUUUGUUUAGAGCUUUAAAAUUUGAUUUGAAAUUUUCUUUGUCGAGUGUUUUUUUUUGACACUUGGCAAAGAAGAAUCGGCAAAGAGAGUUCUUUGCCGAGUGAAAAAAAAACACUCGGCAAAGAAGGUUUUUGCCGAGUGUCUAACGUGGCACUCGGCAAAGACCAGUCUUUGCCGAGUGCUGUCCCCUAGCAUUCGACAAAAGGUCGGGUGCUCGACAAAGCACGAGUUUCCUAUAGUGCGUGAUACCAUCACUCUACUAGAAAAAAAAAAAUCAAUAACUAUCUGAGUUGCCAAGCUAAAUUUCCUAUCCGAACCCACACUAACGCACGCACCAGUCCUGGCUAUUCUGUUUUCACACACAGUUCCAGUAGAAAAGUUAAGACCCUGUUUAGAUUGGAGAUGAAAAUUUUUUGGGUGUCACAUCGAAUGUGUCAGAAGGAUGUCGGGAGAGGUUUUUAGAAACUAAUAAAAAAACAAAUUACAUAGCUCAUCAGAAAACUACAAGACAAAUCUAUUAAGCAUAAUUAAUCUAUCAUUAGCACAUGUGAGUUACUGUAGCACUUAAGGCUAAUCAUGGAGUAACUAGGCUUAAAAGAUUCGUCUCAUGUUUUUCAAUCAAACUGUGUAAUUAGUUUAUUUUUUUAUGUACAUUUAAUGUUCCAUGCAUGUUUCCAAAGAUUCGAUGGGAUGAACGAAAAAAUUUUGGGUGGAAACUAAAUAGGGCCUAAAACGACGCUCCUGUAACUGUGUAAGUAUACAGCAGUACUAAUCGUCAGCAAAGGCGCUGGUAGUCUGGCAGCUCGAUCUUGCCUUCAGCGCCAAGGCUGGAGUAUUAUAUGGUUGACCAAGUCGCUGCACCAUUGCCGCCAAUCAAGGGUCCACAGCUCAAACUCUCAGUGGGUCCCACCCCCGUCCACGUCAUGUUGGCAUGCAUGUUCUGAUGCUCCAUUCAACGGCGAGCUUUAUCCAUAGCUACCUUUCUUCCUUCGUGGCUUCGUACGUCUUACUUACCAUAUUGCCAUGUGUGGUAAUUGGAGUAAAGUAUACUUUAAUUUGUGCCUUGCUGGUCAUUUAUAGCACUACUCUAAUCGCAAGUGCCCAAUACCCAGGCCCGGCUCUAGGAGGUGGGCAGGCAGUGCGACCGCCAUGAGCCCACGGAGCUAGGGACCCAAAAUAAUAUAAAUAUUUAGUAUAUAUAAUUUUUUAUUUGGCAUAACUAACACAUAUAAGUCUUUAAAAUUUCAUUGAAGGUGUCUUCCAGUCUUCCUAUUGUAUGUAACUUGGAAGUAUUAGAGCACAAGCAGCGAAAUCAAGAGACUAGAGGACGAUUUAUUUUCUACGGAAGCCAAAACACCAAGGCUUCCUAAUUCAGCCUUGUUUAGUUCUUAAAAAUUUUAUUUUUGUUUUGGGAAUCUUUAGACACAUGCAUAGAACAUUAAAUAUAGAUAAAAAAUAAAUAAUUACAUAGUUUAUAUGUAUUUUACGAGACGAAUCUUUUGAGCCUAAUUAGUCCAUAAUUGGACACUAAUUGUCAAAUGAAAUAAAAAUGCUACAAUAACCAAAUCUAAACUUUUUUUGUGAACUAAACGAGGCCUUCCUAUUCUCUUCCAAAUUCCCAAAUUCCAAAAUCUCCUAUCAAUUGAUCAUUGAGGCAUCAAUGCACAUGCAAACAUAGAUGCCGAGUCGGCAACGACCGAUGCUAGUUGCCAAGUCGCAGACUCACUAGCUCGCUGUGGCACCACCACUACCGCGAGACGAUGCGACCAACAACAAUGAUGGAUAGCAGAUGUGAUUUUAUUCAACUGGCUCUUAUCUUAUUGCUUGUCUAAGGGCCCUUCAAAUUAUAGAGCCGGCCCUGCCAAUACCCUGCAAAGUGCAAAGUGUAACCACAGUAGAGGCCAAGCGUAGGGGUCGUUUUCAGAUAGAGGCUCCGUUUUAGUUUGCCAGUGUAUCUAAUCGGUGUCAGUCAAAAAAGCAAUCAAUUUGCUUAGGAGCCAAGCUGCAGUUGGAAAUAUAUAGCAGAACUCUGCACGCGCGCUUGUAGGAGACUAGGAGAAGUAGAGGUCAUCCCACGAGCUUGUUUAGGCCUUGUUUUGUUUGCACCAACAACCUUUUCAUCCUGUCACAUCGAAAAUAUUUAAUAUAAAAUAAAAAAGAAUUAAUUAUACAGUUUAUAUGUAUUUUGCGAGAUGAAUCAUUUUAGUCAUGAUUGGAUACUAAUUGCUAUAGUUAUAAAUGUGUUACUCAAAAAUUUUUUUUAUGAACUAAACGAAUAUGAGCAGAAACAAUGGCUCGUCGGCUUUGAACUUAUCAAAUUGGAGGGGUACCUUAACAAGUUCCCUGCAACUGGAUAAAUUUGUCCUAAGUUUCCUAAGCAAACUUCUUGUGCGUACCUAAGGGCUUGUUUGGUUACAAGCCGGGAGUCAAUUUGCCAGCAUCGACACUUGUCUAGUACCUACCUUUACGUUUUUUUGGUUACUACCAUGAAAUGUUGCCUGCAUCAGGUAAUGGUUGCCCCAUCCCCGUCGAUUUAAAAUAGGCGGCGGUGAUGAAGUUCCUCAUAUCCCCUGCCGAAGCGCGAAAACGUUCUGUGAAGAUAGGUUACGAACUAGAGGUGAUAAAAAGUUCUGUUGUACUAGUAAAUAAAAUGUAGAAACUCUGUUGUACUAGCAGUAAGAUUUGUUGUUGUAGUGACGCUGGAGGAUUGACGUGGCGUGUUAGGAAUUGAGGCAAGCUAGCAGACCUAUGGUGAGUUGAGUUCUUGCUUAAUCCUUGUUUGAACCCACUUUAGUUGCAUCGGUACACACUACUGUAUACACGGUGCAUGUCUAGCUAGCUAGUAGUUGAACGCAGGCGAUUUCCUCAUAGAACAGGAUCUUGCUCGGCAUAAAAUGUGUGGUGCGGAUGUGACGCACGAUGGGUACCAAAAUACCAAUGUACACCUUGCAUGCUAAAGCUGGGGACGGUAGCAACAUAGCAGACGAAGAUGCAUGCAUGAUACGGUCAAUGGCUUGGCCGACGACGACUCAUGGUCUCAUGCAUGUUUUGUAAGCGUCAGCCCGCACGUCACGGCCGGGGGCAGGAUCCGUUUCUGCUUCUAGAUGUGGGGCCCCUCAUCGUGCUGGGUCGCUCUGCUUACCGACGAAAUAAACCGAUCGAGAGAAAUCAAAUCAGUGAAGUCCAAUACGAAGGAAAGGCCUGUUUGGUACAUGAGAAGCUUUUUUUUUUGUCAAACAUUUAUUUUCAAAACAGUUUUAUAGGUGAAGUUGUUUCUUCUCUCCUUUCACACAGACAUGAGUUGUGAUGAAGCUGAAAAAAGUAGCUUAUUGCAGCUCCCUCACUCAUUUCUCUCUCUCAACUAUGCAUGAAGUAGUUGGUGAAGCUAUUUUACUAAACACUUUUUUCAAAACAACUCAGCUUUAUCUAGAAAGUUGCUCAUAAAACUAUUUUCUAAAAAAAAGCUUUACUAUUGAAGUUGAGUUGUGUCAAACAAAACCAAAAAAGCAAAUCAGUGGUUAGCUCAAGCUCCAGAUCACUGACGAUGCUUAACACUCUGCUUUCUCCUAGCCGGGUGCACAACUGCACAAAAGCGAGAUGAGUGUGUUUAGAAAUCAGAACCAGGUUUCGUAACGUAGAUGAGUAUAACGUCUGUUUUUUCAAGAUCUCAUCAUCAAUAAUCACUGUGUUCCAAAACGUUUACUGGUUUGAAAUGUUCAGUUUUUCUGUUAAGAAUCGUUGACGAGUUUAUUUAGCAGCACAUCUGUACGUAUCGUGCAGGCAGGCAUAUGUCGACACUUCUGUAUGUGUUCGCCGUCAACAAGAUGUGCGUCACUGCGUGCAUACGAUCGAAGAUCUUUAUACAAUAUAUAUAAUGAUGUAGUUGUGCAGCUAAGACAGUGUCGUUGAUUAGACGUACUAAGAAAAUUCUAAAGACAAAUUCUCACAGAUGAUAAUCUCAGUUGUUUACUCGGGUUGUUGGUGACCACCGUUGAGGCCUCGCUCCAUGUGUUCAGCCUAGUCGAUCUCAGCUUGACUUGUAGUUGGUCAAGCAAGGAGCCGUGCUUCUUCAAGCAAAAACAUGUAGCUUUGUAGGUGGACAUGCAUGAUGCAAGACCCUACCUAGGCCCCGGGCUAACAUAGCGCAGUUCACCAAUUAUUUGGCAUGUUGACCGGAAAAAUGUUUCUCGAGUCAUUUCUUUAAUAAGGUGGUAGUCUGCACGUUGUGCCAUUGUGGAUAGAGCGAGGGUUCAUAUGCCCACUAUGUAUAUUUUAACCUUACACCACGUUAACAAAAAAAUGUUGGUCAAAUUUUCUACCAUUGGACAUGGGUUUGAACUUAGUGACGGAUCUAGAAUGUCGAUGAUAUGGGUGUUUAAAUUUUGAAGUGAUCGAAGCGUUGAUACCUAGCUAGAAUAAAAAAAAUUAUAUGUACAUGUAGUGAGUUGGUCAAUCUCUUAUUAAGGUUGAUCGUAGAAAAAACCAAUCAAAGUAUUAGUCUUUUUUUUUCUAAGCAUCGGUUGUUCGUUAAUUCAGUGGCAAUAUGAUAACAUGUGUGUGUGAAUUUCGGAGUGAUCAAUGCAUUUAUAAAAGAGCAAAUAGGAAUAGGAUGAGCCUAAACAUGUAUGGAGAGAGAGAGAGUAGAGAAUCAGUUUGGUUAAAAUAGGUGGUGAGAUCAUUAUUAACUAAAUGUCCAUCAGCUGAUCUAUUAACUAGGUUUGUUUGAGAUCUGUAGAGCUAAUUUUAUCCAAACUACGGAGUAUGUGGUGGAUCCAAACGGGGUCAGCAUCGUUUAUGACAGCCGAACGAUCCUAAAAUUAGAAAGUUCAACGCCAUGAGCGCACCACGGCGCGCGCGCGAGCGGCAAAUUAAAAAGCGCAGAAGGGAGAAAAAGAUACUACUCCUCUAGUCUUGUUUAGAUCCGAUUUUUUUUGGAUUUUCGACACUGUAGCACUUUCGUUUUUAUUUGACAAACAUUGUCCAAUCACAUAGUAACUAGGCUUAAAAGAUUUAUCUUACGAUUUACAGACAAAUUGUACAAUUAGUUUUUAUUUUCAUCUAUAUUUGAUGCUCCAUACAUGUGUUCCAAGAUUCGAUGUGACAGAGAAUUUUAAAAAGUUUUUGAUUUUUGGAGUGAACUAAACAUAGCCUGAAUGAAACCGGUCAACCGGGGCAAUCUAGGCCUUGUUUAGUUUAAAAAAAUUUACAAAAUUAAUAUUUACAAUUUUCGUUUGUAUUUGACAAAUAUUGUUCAAUCAUUAACUAACUAGACUUAAAAGCUUUGUUUCGUAAACUACAGAUAAACUGUACAAUAGUUAUUUAUUUUAUUUAUAUUUAAUACUUCAUACAAGUACCAUAUGAUUCGAUGUGACGAGAAAUCUAAUUUUUUUUUAAAAUAUUUUGGAAACUAAACAAAGCCCUAUAAAUCUAAACACGAUCUUCGAGGUGGAUCCUGAGAGCGACCUGCCGAUCCAUCGGUCUCCCCAGAAAUGGCAUGUGCUGAGUUGAAUUCACCGCCGUCGCCGUCGUCGUCGUGGUGGUGGACUCUUCCAACCACACAUGCACGAGACAGACACCGAUGGAUGGAUCGGAAUCGCCGGCGCCUGCCCGCCUCCAUCCAUCCAUCUCCGCCUGUGCGCUGCGUUGCGUGGCCCUCCAUCUUCUCCGCGGCUUGCACCGAAGCUUCCCCACUGCAUGCAGUGCAGCACGGGUCGCCCGGCCGCCGCCUCCACAUGCUGCGCGAGAGGAGGAAAACGACCAGCGUCGCGCGCACGCACCCACGCACGCACGCACGCACGCCUCCCGCCUGCGAAGUGGACGCGACGGCCGUAUUGGGUGGGGUGGGAUGCGAUCCGGCAGCCGAAAUCCCCAUCCGGAAUUUAAGACGCCUCGCCGUGCUGCAGUGCAGUGCAGCGACGUGACAGCCCGGCCGCGGGCCGCCCCCGAAGAAGCAGCCGAGCAGGCGAGCAGCCGGGCCCGGCGCAGCACAGUGGCGCGGGCCACGUGGGCCGCUGCUGUGUGUGCCGCCACCUGUUCCGUAGGCGGGCGGAUCAACGACGCUUCUGGGAAGGUGGGUGAGGGGAGGGGAGCGGAGCAGAGCAGAGCUCCAUCCAACGGGUUACGUCCAGCCAGCCCGACACGUUGGCGAAUCCCGGGCGUUGACUCGAGGAGCACGUCGAUCCGACGGAUGGCAACGUCUGCUGGGACCGCGGGCUGGGUCACUAUAAAUGGCCGACCACCGCGGCCGUGUCCAACUCCUCUUCCGACACACACACACACACACACGACGACGACGAGCAGCGCUCACGAUCGGCUGCUCGGCUCCGACCAUCGCGCGUCUAUGGCGAUGAGUGACACGGGCUCGAGCUUCGCGCAGUGGGCCGCGCUCUACCACCACCACCACGACGCCACCGGCCCGGCCGUCCUGCCCGACGACGACGCCGCGGCGGAUGUCCUCGGCAUCGGGAUCGGCAC